rnacentral:rRNA from 1 species
GACGAACGCUGGCGGCGUGCUUAACACAUGCAAGUCGAACGGGCCCGCUCUCUUUUUUGGGGGUGGGUUGAGUGGCGAACGGGUGAGUAUCACGUGAGUAACCUGCCCCCUGCUCCUGGAUAACUGCUUGAAAGGGCGGCUAAUACGGGGUGUGCCGGCUGGUCCGCAUGGGCCUGGUCGGGAUAGUUUCAUCUUCGGGUGUUUCGGUGGGGGAUGGGCUCGCGGCCUAUCAGCUUGUUGGUGGGGUGAUGGCCCACCAAGGCGGUGACGGGUAGCCGGCCUGAGAGGGUGGGCGGCCAGACUGGGACUGAGACACGGCCCAGACUCCGGCGGGAGGCAGCAGUGGGGGGGAUUGCACAAUGGGCGGAAGCCUGAUGCAGCGACGUCGCGUGAGGGAUGGAGGCCUUCGGGUGGUGAACCUCUUUCUCCGGUGGUGAAGGCCCUGUCCGUUGCGGCGGGGUUGACGGUAGCCGGGGAUGAAGCGCCGGCUAACUACGUG